AUGAAAGUAAAACUUUCUGUGAACGCAGCUGCUUCUCGCUGGGUGCGGUGGCGCGUGCCUGUAAUCCAAGCUACCGGGAGGCUGAGGUUGGAGGAUCGUUUGAGCUCAGGAGCUCUGAGCUGCAGCAGGCUAUGUCGAUCGGGUGUCCGCACUAAGUUCGGCAUUGAUAUGGUGAUCCUGGGGGAGCCCGGGACCACCAGGUCGUCUAAGGAGGGGUGCCCAGGUCGGAGACGGAGCAGGUCAAAGCCCCCGUGUCGCUCAGUAGUGGGAUCACGCCUGUGAUUAGACGCUGUAGCGCAGCCUGAGCAAUACAGCGAGACCCAAUCUUUAUACACACCCUUAUACCUGUCACUACAUCACACAGCAUCCUCAUCAGCCCGUCUUUGUCUUUUUAAUUAACGUUAAACACGCUCACAAACCUGCUGCUCUGCUUGUCCUGCACCACCUCCACCUGCAGGACAGCUGCAAAUACAUCCUCCAUCCUAAACACUUCUGAUGCCCAGCAGGUGGAGACAAACUCAAACUAGGAAAUUCAUUCAGGUAACCUUUGGGUUUAAUAUUUGCAUCUUAUGAUCACAGCUUUGACUGUCAUGUAAAAAGGUAAUUUUUUUUUAGAAGUGAACUGUCCACAGCGGACAAGUCUGCACAUUUAGACAUUUACACAGUUACUGCGUGACUUCAGUACAGGCAUGAGUCAGGAUUUUGGGGUAAAGUAAAUGUUUUCUUUCUUCUGCACAUCAGCUGCGAUAACAGUCUAAAUAAUUGCAACUCCCCCAAGAAUGUAGAGAUGACAGCUGCACAACUAAGAGCUCUAUUUUUUUUUUUUUCAACUACUGUGCAAAUCAGCUGUUUCAUUCAAGAGUCAAAAGUGGGAUAAUAAGCCACACCCAGAAUGGUGACUGUGACUUGAAUGCAGCACCAUAGCCCGCCCGGGCAUCUUGACACCCCCUGCUAUACAGUUUUGUAACUUUAAUUAUUCCAAACAGCCGCCUAUGUAGUCUUAAUUGUUCAUAUCAUGCCCCACAUCAGUUAAAAAUGGUCAUAUAAACAUGUAAAUGGAAUUAUAGAAACUGUUGAAAAUUGGAGCGACAAAUAUGACAAUUACAAACAUUGUCAAAGUAACAAGCAUACUAACCUGAUCAGACUUCAAAAAAAGACACAGGAUGGCCAAGCGACCACAGGUGCUGUGUUUAGGCUGCAGUCUCUCCUGGAAUUGUGCGUUCAAAUCCCACUUCCUUCAGCCAGUUUACUGAAUGAAGAUGUUAUGCGCAGUC
rnacentral:lncRNA from 1 species